AGCGAACGCUGGCGGCAGGCUUAACACAUGCAAGUCGAGCGGGCCCUUCGGGGUCAGCGGCGGACGGGUGAGUAACGCGUGGGAACGUGCCUUCUGGUCUGGAAUAACCCUGGGAAACUAGGGCUAAUACCGGAUACGCCCUUUUGGGGAAAGGUUUACUGCCGGAAGAUCGGCCCGCGUCUGAUUAGCUAGUUGGUGGGGUAACGGCCUACCAAGGCGACGAUCAGUAGCUGGUCUGAGAGGAUGAUCAGCCACACUGGGACUGAGACACGGCCCAGACUCCUACGGGAGGUAGCAGUGGGGGAUAUUGGACAAUGGGCGCAAGCCUGAUCCAGCCAUGCCGCGUGAGUGAUGAAGGCCUUAGGGUUGUAAAGCUCUUUUAUCCGGGACGAUAAUGACGGUACCGGAGGAAUAAGCCCCGGCUAACUUCGUG
rnacentral:rRNA from 1 species